UUACAGGGCUUUGACUCUUGGGUCUGAAGAAGGCACCAGCCCCUGCUAAAUUCUGGCCAUUGACACUAGUUGAAGCCUCAUCCUCAGAUUUGGAAGAAGGUGGUCUGGAGAUUUCCUGCCUUCCGAAGCUUGUCUGGGAGGCAGGAAGACCACGAUGGAGGAGAAAGAAGCACAUCUACAAACCUGCUUCUCAUUGACACCCCUGCCUUUCUUUGAGAGACCUUCGGAGGAGGCACUUGGUGGAGAAAGUGCUCCAGCUGACACUCUGAGUCGUGCAGCUUGGGGUGGGGUCUGGAUGAUGUACGCUUCCACUCUAAGACGGGGGGCCAGCAGAAUCGCCCAGGCCAGGCUGUGGCAGAUGCGCUGUCCCUCUUACAGGCAGGUGAAUCGGGAGCUGUCCCUCUGCCUGGAAUACUCCCCUAAGGCCCUCCAAGCUGCAUGGAGAAUGUCACCUGCUGCAGUCAACUCAUCUGGGCCUGAACUGCUGGAUGACUGACCUGAGGUUCCUCUGACUGGAAGGACACUGGGAGAGCUGCUUGGGCCUCCCUUGGUGAUGUCCCUCGUCCCUUUGCAUGGACACUGUCAGGAGGCCCUCUGUCCCCUCCUCAGGUGGUCCCAGACGUAGCCGGUCCUGCUGCCCACAGGAACGACCCUGAUCACAACCUUUAUGUUGGCUUUCCUCCUGCCCGGUCUCACCUCCCCACUCCUCCCCUGCUGCUCCCCGGGUCCGCUCCCAAAUAAACCCCCGCACCUAAGUCUCUGCUCUAGGCUCUGCUCUCAGGGGAGCUCAAGAUGAGCCUCCACAGGGAGGUCUUCCCUGACCACUUAGAGGAGGCUGGGUCACCCUGUUGGACACUCUGGCCACUCCCUGCACUUCCCAUUCUCAGUACUUAAAGGCCUUGUGAUUAAGAAAGUUUUGGUGUAGUUAUUUAUUCCUAUCUCUCUCCCGACUAGGCUAUAAACUCCCAAGGCAGAGAAGAGUCUGUCCUGUUAACCAUUUUUGCUCAGAGCGCAUAGUAGGUGCUGAGAACUAAAAAUCAAAUCCUAAGCCCUCCAACAGACUGAACAGACCCACUCUUGGCGAAGGGGACCUAGGAGAAACCUUAAAAACCGAGUUCCUGGCCAUGAUGGGACAGGAGGCCAAACACAUCUCACUAUGCCCCUUCCUUAUUAACUUUUAACCAGAAUUCCUUCCCAAGGAGUAAACAGAUUUGGAAAACAAGAAACAGAUGACUCAUUUCCUUUAUCACCUUUAGCCAGUCGUCUGAGGCCAUGACCAGACUCCCUCUUCCUCUUUGCAGUUUUGACAUGACAGCUCACCAGUUUCAUAAUGGUAUCCCUUCUUAAAAACUGACCACCCUCCAGCUU